ACUCAAAUGAAUUGACGGGGGCCCGCACAAGCAGCGGAGCGUGUGGUUUAAUUCGAGGCUACACGAAGAACCUUACCUAGGCUUGACAUAGUGGUGGUAACGACUGGAAACAGGAGUGACCUUCGGGAGCCACUACAGGUGCUGCAUGGCUGUCGUCAGCUCGUGUCGUGAGAUGUUCGGUUAAGUCCGAAAACGAGCGCAACCCCUAGAACGUGUUACAAGUGUCACUUUCGACUGCCCGGGGUAACUGGGAGGAAGGUGGGGAUGACGUCAAGUCAGCAUGGCCUUUAUGUCUAGGGCUACACACACGCUACAAUGGCCAAUACACUAGGAUGCCAAGCCGCGAGGCGGAGCGAAUCCAAUAAAGUUGGUCUCAGUUCGGAUUGCAGGCUGCAACUCGCCUGCAUGAAGUUGGAGUUGCUAGUAACCGUAGGUCAGCUAUACUGCGGUGAAUACGUUCCCGGGCCUUGCACACACCGCCCGU
rnacentral:rRNA from 1 species